UUUUUUUAAUAAAAUAUCAGGUAUUAUACCCAUCAUGCCUAAUCCAUACAAACUUUAAAUUAUUUGUCAUCUAUCAUCUGGAUUCUCUCAUUCUCCUCUUCAUAUCCCCCCCUCUCUCUCUACCCUCUCCCUCUGUCGUCGCCAUUGAGGAGUGCCCAACGCCGAAGACACCUCCUAGCAUCACUACAAGGCCACGUUUGAUGUAAAGCAGUAGUUCUCUCCUUCUCUUCUCUUCAUAUCUUGUCUCUCUCUCUCUCUACCCUUUUUUUCAAACCAUCACCGUUGAGGAGCGCCCCCGUCGGAGAUGUAAGAGUCGAGCAUAGCAGCUGUAGUGCGGUGCCCUUGUAGUCGGCCAUUUGAGGGAUCUACUCGGUCGAUGUGAGCGAUCUAGUCAUCGUUUAAGAUUUUUGGGGAUGGCUUUCGAGUCAAUCUGGCCUGUCGAAAUUUUGGUGGUUUUUAUUGGCGAUUGCAAAUGGUGAUAGUAGCGAUGUUUGUGAUGGUGGAGCUGUUGUCGAUAAUGAUGAGGUAAUGGUGGUGGCGAUAUGGAUCUGGCAGCAAUUUUUUGUGGUGGUGUAGGUGUAUGUGUUGAAGGUGGUGGUGGCGGUCGAUGGUGGUUGGUGAUGGUGAUGGCGGUGGUGGUGGUGUUGUGGUGCUGGCGAUGAUCGCAUGGUGAUGGUGAUCACAAGUUCAUUGGCGAUGGUGAUAGUGUUGGUGGCGUGGUGUGUGACAUACUAUUUGAUGUAUGUGACCACUUAUUUGGUUAUCUGAUGUAUGUGAUCACUUAUUUGAUUAUCUAUGACAAAGUAUUAAACUGUGACCUUAAAUUUUGAUAAUUUGUAACGGAAAUAUAAUUUGUGACCAACAGAUUUGAAAAUUUGUGUUCGAUAGAUAAAUUGUAACCUAUAAAAUUUUUGAUUUGUAAUAUCGAAAUAAGUUGUGACC
rnacentral:lncRNA from 1 species